GUUCUGCUUUAUGUUUUGGCAACUUAUACGCGGACCUCCAAAUUGGGCGAACGGUUGGUGUCAUGUAACAACAUAAAAUAGAUGUUACCGAACAUUUCAGAACUAAAAAAAUGCGGACAAACAGUCAGAAUGGAUCGGGGCUGCUGUCGAGGGAAGUCAUACGGAUGAGAGAGAAAGGAUGCACAGAACCGGCAUAGUAACGGUAAAUUAUGCAAAGAUGAUGUAACGUCUCACUUUCAAAAGUCCAUCAUUUUCAAAAGGACUAAAUCAACAGAAACAAACACAUUUUUGAAAAUACAAAUGUUUAUUUCGACCGUCAUUUGUUCCUUUUUAAAAAUUUCGUUCUGUGGUAAAAGCUUGCAAAAAGUAUAAUUGAUAUGUAGCUGUCGUUCUUGGCAAAUGUAAGAAUUCUUGGGCGUUGCCAUGGUGGUUAUUCCGUGCGAAAUAAUUCCUAAGACUAGUUUACAGGACUCCGGCGGCUUUGAGGUCUGCGAGCAUCUUGACGACGUGCUCGGGCAUGGGUGGAGGAGUGGGGAGGUGGUCGCCGGUGGCCUGGAAUCCGUUUUCAUCGGCCACCCAAUUGACGGUGAGGACGACGCCGUCGGGAGUCGUGAACGAGUAGGAGC